CAGAGGCUGAGGAGUGAGCUGGGGAGGUGAGACCCCCGCUCUCCCCUGCUCGCUGCUGCACAGCAGAGGCUGCGAUUCGGGUGGGCGCCUCCGCCCUGGCCCUGCUGAGCCCUGGCACCCAGGACUCAGGGCCAUGGAGCUCCGCGGGCGGGAAGGGCCCGAGAGGACAGCGUCUGAGAGCACGGAUAGGCGCCUUGGGCUCGAUGAAACUCCAUGAUCUUGUUUAUGCCCAUCUUGGGAAGUCCUCCCCAAUGUCUAACCAAGACCUGUACUGCUGAAGCAUCAGUUCUUUGACCCUUGGCUUGACAUGACUAAUUUGAGAAGGAAAGAAGAAACUGCCACCCAGCUUUGGUCACUAGUUUGGGCUUCCUGAACACCAGGUGUUGAGAUUGGGAAACUGAGACUUGGCUAGCUUGGCACAGCACCUCUGCACCCCACAAAGGAAGGGGCUGACGUUGAUGAGACACCCACUUGCUUGUGUAAGGCCAUUCUUAGCUGUUAUCUUGGUUGAUCUUCCAAAAGUCUUGAAAACUGGGAGAUAUUGUCCCUACUUUACAAAAGUGGAAUCAGAGCCCCAAGGAAGACAUGUUGGCCAGUGUCACAGGACUACCAAAAAACAAAAACAAAAACAAAAAACCAGUUAGCCUGAUUCCCUCCAAGAAGCCUCCCUGGAUUGACUGAAAGAUGAGGCUAAACUUUAACAAGUUGACUGCCUCCUCCAAGAAGCCGGUGAGCAGGAUGAAAGAGGGGAGGCCCCAGCCUCCAGCCUGGACAGCUGACUACAUCUGGGGCCGCCUGGGAUAAGAAUUGGCUUCAUCAUUGCUCCAGUCCCAUCCCAUCCUGGUUUUUCCUGUGUUGUCUGAGCUGAGAUUCCUCUGAGAUGGAA